AUACUUGGUAGUGGGAUUGCUGGGUCACAAUUUCUAGAAAGAGAAAAGUAAAGAAAUCAAAUGGGAUUUCCAGUUUCCAUCUCAGAAGACAGGAACUAUAGAAUAGGAAAUCAUGAACAAAGAUGUUUCUAGCAACACAGUGCCCAUCCGUCUUCUAAUUGUUGUUUAAACCAAUUCUCAACCUAAGAUAUCUAGACAGAGAAAGGACUAUAUCAUUCCUUCAAAUGGCUUGGUUAUAGGCAACAUACCACAUUGUUUUGUUAAUAUUUCAGGACCUGGGGUGUCAGCUUCAAUUGUAUUUUUCAUUUCUUGUCUUUAGGCUAUCAAAUUACAGUUCUGAGUAUUUGAAAACAAGCAGGAAUAUGAAGCCAGCUUUUUCAAAAGCAUUUAGUAUUGCUCUUGAGUUUUAUCCCCAUUUCUAAGCAUUAUUUCCAUAUUAUAUCUAAUAUUUUCAUUUUAAUCUGGAACCUAAAACACAUUGUAUUAAAAAAAAUACUUUGGAAAACCAGGAAAGUAUGUCUUUCAGGCAAGAUCACUUCUCCCUGCUGAAUUAAAAAAUAAUGAUGAAAUAUUUCAUUGACAGAAGCAAAAUCACCUUAUGACUUAUCUAUUAAAAAGUUGGCUCCAAUCUCUCCUACAUAUAUAGAUGAAUAAAUCAUAAUAUAAGGAUAUAAGUAAGUUCCUUAAACCUUCCUUGAAGUAUCAGGCAUUAAAUGUUCUCAUCUAUAAAAUGAGAAAGUGAAAACUAGCUAAUCUGUAAGAUCAUACUCAAUCUAACACUGACGCGACUUGAUGUUUGACUCGAGGCUUUCUGCUUACAUUCUUUCUUUGUUCCUUUCAAACUCCUUGUCCAAAAGUCUUGCCUGCAAGUUUCUUCCUCUUUUAAUUCUUGUCAAACUCUCCAUUAUCAUUUCCACGUUAAAUAUCCAAAACCAAACUCACUAUCCCUCUCAAACUUCUUGGUUUACAUAUUUCUUGGAUUUGUACCCUGGUCCUUCUCAGUAUGCUGGCAGGAAAUAAGGAAUCAUCUUUCAUCAUCUUUCUCUCACCCCAUAUCUAAUCAGUAUAUAAGGACAGAAUAUUUGUCCACUGAACUCUCUCUCCUUAUCCUUCUUGCAAUUCCUCCCAACACAUGAGUUCAGAUUUCCAGGGUGUCUCUCCGAGACUCAGUGUUGAAAAUUCUUUUAUCUGCUUUGUCUUUCCAGAUACGAUGACUCCAAAGCACUGUAGCCAGGUUGACAGUCCUAUGGUUCCCUGUUUUCGGUCGAAUUAAGAACAAACUAUGCAGCCUGGCAAUGAAGUUCGUGUACAAUAUGCCCUAGCCUGGCUUUUCAAACUCUCUCGUUUUCCUUCUGCUUAUGUCCAGUGUCUUAGCCACCCAGGAUCCUUGCUAUUUCCUGAACACACCCUAUAUUUUGUCAUUUCCUUGCCUUUUAGGUUUUAUUUUGAAUUCUUAUUUUCAGUGUUUAAAGUUUCUAAGUUUCUAUAAAUUUUGGGAUAUCAACUGCAGAUAAAACAAGAAAAAAUAACAUGUAAUAAUUUUAAAUCUUUAUCCUACUUCAAAAACCCUCUGUAUUUCUUUUUUCUGGAGCCCAUACAAUAUAUUCCAUGUUAAUGAAAUACAGCAGAACUUUAAAAAAUCAGUAAAGUCUCUCUGGAGAACACAAUGAGGAUUGAGUGUAUUAGUGCUGCACUGAAUCUGAGCACCUGCAGCCCAACCUCCCCCUGGGAGGGUCAGGGAAGCCAGCCAGCUGACCUCAGGUCACGCAGCUAUCAGGAACAAAUCUUGGACGAAAGAUUUGAAUGGUUUUCUGUGGCUCAGGAAACUACCAAAAUGUGCCUUUCAAUAGAACUUGCUCAAUCAUUCACUCAACAAGCAGGUGUCUAGUGUUUGCAGUCUGCGGUGUGUUGGGUCCUGGAAUUCAAAAAUUAACGAUGGCCCUGCCAUCUAGGGACACAGUCUGGGAGGAGGAAAUACGGGUGGACAACUAAGUGCAAUAAAAGGUGAUAGGUACCAUGAUAGAAAUGGUGCAUUGUAGACAUAAAGGAAGAUGUAGUCAGCCUUCCCUGAUGUGACAGGGGAAGGUAGAAGGAUUUCAUAGAUGAAGUAAUCCCUUCGGAUUAAUAUUAAAAAGUUGGUUCACCAGAGUGGACCAACAAGGGACCAACACAACCAAAGGCACAGAAGCAUGAAUUAGAUAGACUUAUUUGGGGGAAAUGCAAACAAUUUAGAGAGUCCUGAGGUUAAGGUACAAGACAAGACAUAUCAAAAUUAAAACUGAAAAGCAAAGCAAGCCCCCAAUUGUGAAGGGACUUAAAUAUCUUACCAAAGAGUUUGAAACAAUACCUAUAAUUAGUAUUAUUAAUAAUUAUCAGCUUCUUAUUGUAACUGGUGAGUUCUACAUACUGAUGACUUUCUAUGAUCAGCAUGAUUAGUGAUUUACAUUGACAGACAAGGAAACUGAGGAGCAAAGAUUAACUCACUUGCCUAAAGCAAAAUGGCCAUUAAGAAUUGGAGCCAAGAUCUGAACUUUGAUCCACCUGAUUUCAAAGUUGAACAUAGAACAUGCUAUACUCCAUCUUUAGUCUGUAGACAAAGUGGAGCCAUCAGAAAAUUUCAAUACAGAAGAAAUUUGAAUAGACUAGUCUUGGAAGACUCUGCAGUGGUAGAGAGUUGUGCUCUCCAAUACAGUAGCCACUAGCCACAGUGAAAUUAAAUGCAAUUUAAUCAUUGAGAGUUCAAUUCUUCAAGUGCAGUAGCCACAUUUCAGGUGCUCAAUACCGCACGUGGCUGGUAGCUACUGUACUGGUCAGUGCAGAAUGAGCACUUCCAUCAUCAAGGAAAGUUCUACUGUGCAGCACUGGUGUUGAGGAUGCGUCGGAGUUUUAUGAGGUGGGGCAGGGAGAAUAAAAGGUCAUUACCUGGGACAAGUGAGAAAGGAUCACAGAAAAAAUUAAACCACUAACAGUAGAUAGUUAAGCCAGUGCUUCCCAAAGUGUGACAGCCCCUCCUUUUCUCUUCAACCAGCAACAUCAGCAUCAGGUGGGAACUUGUUAGAAAUGCAAAUUCACACGGAAUCAGAAAGUCUGGGAGUCGGGCCCAGCUAUCUCUUUCGUAACAAGCACUCCCUGAGACCUUGCUGUCCACUAAAAUGCAAAGACUGCUGAUUUAGAGGAAGGGACGGAUUUUACAAAGUAUAGUACAGAAAUACAGGUGACUUUGAGGUCACA